AAAAACACAUAAGCAGAAUUUUUAGUACUAAAAUUAGAACGAUACAGAGAAGAUUAGCAUGGCCCCUGUGUAAGGAUGACACGCAAAUUCGUGAAGCGUUCCGUAUUUUU
rfam:Tupaia chinensis contig92554, whole genome shotgun sequence.